GGGCCCAGGCCAGUGAGAGCAUUAGCACAACCCCAGGUCACACAGGACUGGACAAAAGUCAUAACAGCCAAAAACUGCACCCUGCUAGAGGCUUGGUCCAGUUCUUUCAUCAAGAGUUCCUCUGGCCAAAUCCCACUGCAGCCAUUGCUGUCGCCACAAUGCCAAAAUGAAAGAAGCACAAUCAGCACCAGCCCCUGCCACAGCAGCAGCCCCCACUGUCCGAGUGGGAAGAGACUGAAGUGGAAACAAACCAGAAAAAAAAAAAAGGCAUUCUGGGUCCAAGCACAGCACUUUGGGAGGCUGAGGCAGGAGGACUGCUUGAAGCCAGGAGUUUAAGACCAGCCUUGACAAACACAGCAAGAUUCCAUUCUACCAAAAAAAAAAAAAAAAAAGUAAAAAAAAAAAAGAAACAAGUGAGCUGGGCAUGAUGCUGACACUGCAGUCCCAGCUGCUCGGGAGGCUGAGGUGGGAGGAUCAUUUGAGCCCAGGAGUUUCACACUGCACUCCAGCC
rnacentral:lncRNA from 13 species